rnacentral:rRNA from 1 species
AGAGUUUGAUCCUGGCUCAGAAUCAACGCUGGCGGCGUGCCUAACACAUGCAAGUCGAACGCGAAAGUGGAGCAAUCCAUGAGUAGAGUGGCAAACGGGUGAGUAACACGUGGGCGACCUACCUCAGAGUGGGGGAUAACCUUCCGAAAGGAGGGCUAAUACCGCAUGACAUCCCGUGUUUGGAUACACGGAGAUCAAAGCCGGGGAUCGCAAGACCUGGCGCUUGGAGAGGGGCCCGCGUCCGAUUAGCUAGUUGGUGAGGUAACGGCUCACCAAGGCUCCGAUCGGUAUCCGGCCUGAGAGGGCGGACGGACACACUGGAACUGAGACACGGUCCAGACUCCUACGGGAGGCAGCAGUGGGGAAUUGUUCGCAAUGGGCGCAAGCCUGACGACGCAACGCCGCGUGGAGGAUGAAGAAUUUCGGUUCGUAAACUCCUUUCGACCGAGAUGAAUGGCCCGUGACCCAACACGUCACGGGAUUGACAGUAUCGA